UUUGCAGCUUCUGAAGGGAUACUUAUUAUCUUCAGGUGAUUGUCCUUAAGCUGCUUUAUUUGUACUGGCUCGUAUUUCACCUGCUGUGGUUGUGCCAAUGCAAAGCCCUUGGACCCGGAACUGCAUCUUUCCCAGGCACUGCAGAAUGCAAGACUGGCUUUGGUUAAAAUCAGGGUGCAAUGCUGAGAUUUUGUCCUACCACUACAGCAGGAAGACAGAGUUGUAGGAGAAAAGACCUUGGAAAGACCCAUUCAUGAGGACUCAGACCUUGAAGAACAUUGUGGGCAUCCUGCCCUUAGGGCAUCCUUAGGAAGGCAAGAUGAGGGCAUGUGGUGCAACAUCCUUGUCACACUGAACUUAAAAUGCCGAAGAUGUCAGCAGCAUCAGGAUUUCACCCUCCAGCCUGAUGUUAUUUCCUCUCCAUUUAUAUUCACAACCUUUUCUUUAUGCAACUAUGUCAUGGCUUUUAGGUAGAUAAAUAUCUUGCAUGCUUCUCAAGGGUAUGAUACGCUAUUUAGUGUUUUCCCUCUGGUAUCAGCACCUGUUAAGCAUGGAAAUAAAGUGAUUAGACUUACAUGUUUGGUUUCAAAAACUGAUUUGAAGAUAGGUCUCCUUAUCAUUGGCAGAUAAAUAAUAUCAUUGGCGACCAUUUCAAAAUAGUGAUAUCCUCCUCAAUAGCAAGUUUACUCAAUUGUGAAAAGUAGGAUUUACACUAGGAAGUUUUCUGGUUUUCUCUUUCUCUUGGAAUUUUCUAGAUCUACCAGGCUUUUUUGUGGCAAAGUUGUCUGGUACUGUGUAGCCUCAGAAGAAAAUUGCAGAUCUAGGUGUGACUUAGAUAGUGAAGCCCUUUUGAUGUAACAGAGGAAAAAAUGAAAAUUCAGUAUUCCUUAAAUGAUUUGCAGACAGGUUUUUAAAAUUAUUUUCAGUCUGAGAGUUACCUGGUUCUUUGCUUUAGUCUAGGAUGUUAUGAUGAACAGGAGGAUUAAGAAAUAGCAGUUACGUAAUUACUUUAGAUCUAAGCUCAUGGUGUCUCACAGAAUGGCUAAAUUCAGCAAGGCUGAAUUGUAGUAGGUCAUUAAUUAUCUUUAAAGUAGCUAAGCAUUGUAAUGAGCUAUGUAGGUAUUUCUAGAGAAAAUUACUAGCAAACUGUUAAAACAAUUCUUAAAAAUGUAAGGUGAUGCAGAAGUCCCCUAAACCCUUCAGUCCUUCCUGUUCCUUUGGAGCUAGGGAUUUCAAUGCACCUGAUGCGCCUUCAGCUCCUGGCUCCCUAUGGUGGAAAACUUUUCAAACAAACUGCACUGUGUCUACCAAAACAAUUGGAUUCUUACACUGUCUUUUUUACAUACCUUUGAAAUAUUGUAUAUUAUGCAUAAGUUCUUGCUUCAUCAUGUAUCUUGAGAUCUCUCUGUAUUUCAUUGUUUGUCUUCAAUUUUGUAUCUUUCUUAUGUAAAAUUCAUUAAGCCUGUGUGAAUAUGAGGAGGAUAAAAAGGUUCCUUUUGCUUUUUCCCUUGGGAUUGGCUGCCUUGCCUCCUGCUCAGUCAUGAUUUCUGUUUUGAGCUUAGCUUUUAAUGCGUGCAGUUUUCCUGGAAAAGGGUAUUCUAUGCUUUUUUUUGCUAGAUUGAGCUCUGAAGUAAAACAAUUUCCUCUUGAAAUAGUGAUACUGGGAUUCUCUAGCA